AUUGAACGCUGGCGGCAGGCCUAACACAUGCACGUCGAGCGGAGCGGCGGACGGGUGAGUAAUGCCUAGGAAUCUGCCUGGUAGUGGGGGAUAACGUCCGGAAACGGGCUCUCCUCCCGCAUCCUCUCAUAUGAGCCUAGGUCGGAUUAGCUAGUUGGGGGGGUAAAGGCCUAGCAGGGCGACGAUCCGUAACUGGUCUGAGAGGAUGAUCAGUCAGACUGGAACGGAGACACGGUCCAGACGCCUACGGGAGGCAGCAGUGGGGAAUAUGGGACAAUGGGCGAAAGCGUGAUCCAGCCAUGCCGCGUGUGUGAAGAAGGUCGUCGGAUUGUAAAGCACUUUAAGUUGGGAGGCGUUACCAACAGAAUAAGCACCGGCUAACUCCGUGCCAGCAGCCGCGGUAAUAC
rnacentral:rRNA from 1 species